rnacentral:rRNA from 1 species
AGAGUUUGAUCCUGGCUCAGAACGAACGCUGGCGGCGCGUUUUAAGCAUGCAAGUCGAGCGGCAAGGGCCUUUGGGCCCCUAGAGCGGCGGACGGGUGAGUAACACGUGGACAAUCUGCCCCCCGGCCGGGGAUAGCCCAGGGAAACCUGGAUUAAUACCGGAUGAGACGGGACCCGCGGAGGCGGGAUCCGGGAAAGGCGCUGCGGCGCCGCCGGGGGAUGAGUCUGCGUCCCAUUAGCUAGACGGCGGGGUGAAGGCCCACCGUGGCGACGAUGGGUAGCCGGCCUGAGAGGGUGGACGGCCACAUUGGAACUGAGACACGGUCCAGACUCCUACGGGAGGCAGCAGCUAAGAAUCUUCCGCAAUGGGCGAAAGCCUGACGGAGCGACGCCGCGUGAACGAAGAAGGCCGUGAGGUUGUAAAGUUCUUUUCGGGAGGGGGAACAACCGUGGCAGGGAAUGGCCGCGGGAUGACGUGAAUCCCGGAAUAAGCCCCGGCUAACUACGUGCCAGCAGCCGCGGUAACACGUAGGGGGCGAGCGUUGUUCGGAAUCAUUGGGCGUAAAGGGCGUGCAGGCGGUCCUGCAAGUCCGGCGUGAAAGACCCCGGCCCAACCGGGGGGGCGCGCUGGAAACUGCAGGGCUUGAGUACAGGAGGGGAUGCCGGAAUUCCAGGUGUAGGGGUGAAAUCUGUAGAUAUCUGGAAGAACACCAAUGGCGAAGGCAGGCAUCUGGCCAUGUACUGACGCUGAGACGCGAAGGUGCGGGGAGCAAACAGGUUUAGAUACCCUGUAGUCCGCACAGUAAACGAUGUGCACCAGGUGGCGGGGGGUCGACCCCCGGUACCGUA